rnacentral:rRNA from 1 species
GACGAACGCUGGCGGCGUGCUUAACACAUGCAAGUCGAACGGUGAAGGGACUGGUUUUGCUGGUCCUGGAUGAGUGGCGAACGGGUGAGUAACACGUGAGUAACCUGCCCCCUUCUUCUGGAUAACCGCAUGAAAGUGUGGCUAAUACGGGAUAUUCUGGGUCUGUCGCAUGGUGGGCCUGGGAAAGAUUGCGCCUUUUUUGGUGUUUUUGGUGGGGGAUGGGCUCGCGGCCUAUCAGCUUGUUGGUGGGGUGAUGGCCUACCAAGGCGGUGACGGGUAGCCGGCCUGAGAGGGUGGACGGUCACACUGGGACUGAGACACGGCCCAGACUCCUACGGGAGGCAGCAGUGGGGAAUAUUGCACAAUGGGCGCAAGCCUGAUGCAGCGACGCCGCGUGAGGGAUGGAGGCCUUCGGGUUGUGAACUUCUUUCGCCAGUGAAGCAGGCCUGCCUCUUUUUGUGAGUGGGUUGACGGUAGCUGGAUAAGAAGCGCCGGCUAACUACGUG